rnacentral:tRNA from 1 species
CCUGGUAGCUAAUUGGUAAAGAAUCUGCCUGCAGUGCAGAAGACCUGGGUUCGAUCCCUGGGUCAGGA